UAAGUCGACCGCCUGGGGAGUACGGCCGCAAGGUUAAAACUCAAAUGAAUUGACGGGGGCCCGCACAAGCGGUGGAGCAUGUGGUUUAAUUCGAUGCAACGCGAAGAACCUUACCUACUCUUGACAUCCAGAGAACUUUCCAGAGAUGGAUUGGUGCCUUCGGGAACUCUGAGACAGGUGCUGCAUGGCUGUCGUCAGCUCGUGUUGUGAAAUGUUGGGUUAAGUCCCGCAACGAGCGCAACCCUUAUCCUUUGUUGCCAGCGGUUCGGCCGGGAACUCAAAGGAGACUGCCAGUGAUAAACUGGAGGAAGGUGGGGAUGACGUCAAGUCAUCAUGGCCCUUACGAGUAGGGCUACACACGUGCUACAAUGGCGCAUACAAAGAGAAGCGACCUCGCGAGAGCAAGCGGACCUCAUAAAGUGCGUCGUAGUCCGGAUUGGAGUCUGCAACUCGACUCCAUGAAGUCGGAAUCGCUAGUAAUCGUGGAUCAGAAUGCCACGGUGAAUACGUUCCCGGGCCUUGUACACACCGCCCGUCACACCAUGGGAGUGGGUUGCAAAAGAAGUAGGUAGCUUAACCUUCGGGAGGGCGCUUACCACUUUGUGAUUCAUGACUGGGGUGAAGUCGUAACAAGGUAACCGUAGGGGAACCUGCGGUUGGAUCACCUCCUUACCUUAAAGAA
rnacentral:rRNA from 1 species